GACGAACGCUGGCGGCGUGCUUAACACAUGCAAGUCGAACGGAAAGGCCCUGCUUUUGUGGGGUGCUCGAGUGGCGAACGGGUGAGUAACACGUGAGUAACCUGCCCUUGACUUUGGGAUAACUUCAGGAAACUGGGGCUAAUACCGGAUAGGAGCUCCUGCUGCAUGGUGGGGGUUGGAAAGUUUCGGCUGUUGGGGAUGGACUCGCGGCUUAUCAGCUUGUUGGUGGGGUAGUGGCUUACCAAGGCUUUGACGGGUAGCCGGCCUGAGAGGGUGACCGGCCACAUUGGGACUGAGGUACGGCCCAGACUCCUACGGGAGGCAGCAGUGGGGAAUAUUGCACAAUGGGCGGAAGCCUGAUGCAGCAACGCCGCGUGCGGGAUGACGGCCUUCGGGUUGUAAACCGCUUUCGCCUGUGACGAAGCGUGAGUGACGGUAAUGGGUAAAGAAGCACCGGCUAACUACGUG
rnacentral:rRNA from 1 species